rnacentral:rRNA from 1 species
AGGACGAACGCUGGCGGCGUGCUUAACACAUGCAAGUCGAACGAAGAUGCCGGAGUGCUUGCACUUUGGCAGACUGAGCGGCGGACGGGUGAGUAACGCGUGGGUAACCUGCCUUAUACAGGGGGAUAACAGUUGGAAACGACUGCUAAUACCGCAUAAGCGCACGGUAUCGCAUGAUACAGUGUGAAAAACUCCGGUGGUGUGAGAUGGACCCGCGUCUGAUUAGCUAGUUGGCAGGGCAACGGCCUACCAAGGCGACGAUCAGUAGCCGACCUGAGAGGGUGACCGGCCACAUUGGGACUGAGACACGGCCCAAACUCCUACGGGAGGCAGCAGUGGGGAAUAUUGCACAAUGGGGGAAACCCUGAUGCAGCGACGCCGCGUGAGCGAAGAAGUAUUUCGGUAUGUAAAGCUCUAUCAGCAGGGAAGAAGAAAUGACGGUACCUGACUAAGAAGCACCGGCUAAAUACGUG